GACGAACGCUGGCGGCGUGCUUAACACAUGCAAGUCGAACGCUGAAGCUUGGUGCUUGCCCUGGGUGGGUGAGUGGCGAACGGGUGAGUAAUACGUGAGUAACCUGCCCUUGACUCUGGGAUAAGCCUGGGAAACUGGGUCUAAUACUGGAUACGACAUGCCACUGCAUGGUGGUGUGUGGAAAGGGUUUUACUGGUUUUGGAUGGGCUCACGGCCUAUCAGCUUGUUGGUGGGGUAAUGGCCUACCAAGGCGACGACGGGUAGCCGGCCUGAGAGGGUGACCGGCCACACUGGGACUGAGACACGGCCCAGACUCCUACGGGAGGCAGCAGUGGGGAAUAUUGCACAAUGGGCGGAAGCCUGAUGCAGCGACGCCGCGUGAGGGAUGACGGCCUUCGGGUUGUAAACCUCUUUCAGCACGGAAGAAGCGAGAGUGACGGUACGUGCAGAAGAAGCGCCGGCUAACUACGUG
rnacentral:rRNA from 1 species